UACGUAGGGUGCGAGCGUUGCCCGGAUUUAUUGGGCGUAAAGGGCGCGUAGGCGGCCACGCACGUCCGUUGUGAAAUCGCCCGGCUCAACUGGGCGGGUCAGCGGAUACGGUGUGGCUCGAGCAAGCUAGGGGGCAAUGGAAUUCCCGGUGUGAGUGGUGGGAAUGCGUAGAUAUCGGGAGGAACACCAGUGGCGAAGGCGGUUGCCUGGAGCUUUGCUGACGCUGAGGCGCGAAAGCGUGGGGAGCGAUCCGG
rnacentral:rRNA from 1 species